rnacentral:tRNA from 1 species
ACUACUCUAGUAGCUUAAACCACCAAAAGCAUUG